rnacentral:rRNA from 1 species
UACAGACGGCGCAAGCGUUAUCCGGAAUGAUUGGGCGUAAAGCGUCUGUAGGUGGUUCGCGAAGUCUACUGUCAAAUCCCAGGGCUCAACCUUGGACAGGCAGUGGAGAACUCGCGGACUAGAGUACGGUAGGGGUAGAGGGAAGUUCCCGGUGGAAGCAGUGAAAUGCACAGAGAUCGGGAAGAACACCAGUGGCGAAGGCGCUCUACUAGGCCGUGACUGACACUGAGAGACGAUAGCUAGGGGAGCGAAUAAGG